rnacentral:rRNA from 1 species
AGUGAACGCUGGCGGUAGGCCUAACACAUGCAAGUCGAACGGCAGCACAGUAAGAGCUUGCUCUUACGGGUGGCGAGUGGCGGACGGGUGAGGAAUACAUCGGAAUCUACUUUUUCGUGGGGGAUAACGUAGGGAAACUUACGCUAAUACCGCAUACGACCUACGGGUGAAAGCAGGGGAUCUUCGGACCUUGCGCGAUUGAAUGAGCCGAUGUCGGAUUAGCUAGUUGGCGGGGUAAAGGCCCACCAAGGCGACGAUCCGUAGCUGGUCUGAGAGGAUGAUCAGCCACACUGGAACUGAGACACGGUCCAGACUCCGACGGGAAGAAGCAGUGGGGAAUAUUGGACAAUGGGCGCAAGCCUGAUCCAGCCAUACCGCGUGGGUGAAGAAGGCCUUCGGGUUGUAAAGCCCUUUUGUUGGGAAAGAAAAGCAGCAGGUUAAUACCCCGCUGUUCUGACGGUACCCAAAGAAUAAGCACCGGCUAACUUCGUG